GCAUGAAGUCGGAAUUGCUAGUAAUCGCGGAUCAGAAUGCCGCGGUGAAUACGUUCCCGGGCCUUGUACACACCGCCCGUCACACCAUGAGAGCCGGUAACACCCGAAGUCAGGAGCCUAACCGCAAGGAGGGCGCUGCCGAAGGUGGGAUUGGUAAUUGGGGUGAAGUCGUAACAAGGUACC
rnacentral:rRNA from 1 species